GACGGACGCUGGCGGCGUGCUUAACACAUGCAAGUCGAACGGAAAGGCCCUGCUUUUGUGGGGUGCUCGAGUGGCGAACGGGUGAGUAACACGUGGGUAACCUGCCCUUGACUUUGGGAUAACUUCAGGAAACUGGGGCUAAUACCGGAUAGGAGCUCCUGCUGCAUGGUGGGGGUUGGAAAGUUCCGGCGGUUGGGGAU
rnacentral:rRNA from 1 species